rnacentral:tRNA from 1 species
GGGUGGAUAGCUCAGUGGUAGAGUGCAUGCCUAGCAUGCAUGAGGUCCUGAGCUCAAUCCCCAGUACCUCCA